rnacentral:rRNA from 1 species
CAUGUAGGCGGUCUGUCAAGUCUGGUGUGAAAGCCCGGGGCUCAACCCCGGAAGUGCAUUGGAAACUGGCAGACUUGAGUACGGGAGAGGAAAGUGGAAUUUCGAGUGUAGGGGUGAAAUCCGUAGAUAUUCGAAGGAACACCAGUGGCGAAGGCGGCUUUCUGGACCGAUACUGACGCUGAGAUGCGAAAGCGUGGGGAGCAAACAGGAUUAGAUACCCUGGUAGUCC